AUGAACCGGAAGCCGGGUUACGG
rnacentral:snRNA from 1 species